UUCAAAAUGGUGAUGAGUACCGUUUGUCAAAAUUCUAAAGAACACAAAGCACAAUCCUCCCUUAAUCUACAUAGUUGUUACUUUCUUAGGAAACUCAGUGCAUAAUAAUACUUGAUCCCCCACUUUUUUUGGUAACUUUAGGUAAUUAUACACAGGUUUCAUUUCUACAUGAAUGUCUUGUGGGAUAUUUUAAAGACAGAAUUCUUUUUUGUUGUGAGGAUUGAACUGGGCACUGAAAAAAGGUUUGGUCUCCUUGGCCACUGCCUACUAAUGGUUCCUAUGGUCCUCAGGCUCUGCAACCACCAGAGGUUCACACCUCCAUCCUCCUACCAGCAAUUUCUUCAAUGUGCCCUGUUGUGUAGUCCCAUUCACCACUGACAGCCACAGUGCUGGCAGUGCUCAGGCUUCCAUGACAGAGUAUUGCAGACUAGAUGACUUAAACAGAAAAAAAUUAUUUCCUUUCUGGUCUGGAGGCUGUAAGUCCAAGAUCAAGUAUCAGCAGGUGUAAUUUCUUCGGAGGCCUCUCUCCUUGGCUUGUAGGCAGCCACCAUCUUGAUGUGUCUCAUUGGCUUUUCCUUUGUGUGGUUGUGCUUCUGGUGUCUCUUCCUCUUCUUAUAAGGACAUCAGAUCUAUUAGAUUAGAUCCCUACUCUUAUAACCUCAUUUAGCCUUAAUUAUUUCCUUAAAGGACCUAUUUCCAAAUGUAGUCACAGUAGGGGUUAGGUUUCAACGUAGGAAUCUGGGGGGAGACACAAUUCAGUUUAUAACACUCCUUCCCUUCCACUGCCUAGCUUAGUCUUCUCAUCCUUCUCUUUGUCAGGGCUUAUGGGAAGUUCACUCCUCAACACAGUCACUCCUGGGUAAUGGUAAUGGUGAUAAUAAAAUACACUGCUUUACCUGUCACCUUACAUUUGGCAGACUACUUUAUGUAAAUAUCCAACUGUGUUUUGAAACAGUCUCUUUUCCUUUUUCAUCCAUUUGAAAAAAAGUAUAAAGCAUUUUAAACUUAUAGAAAAAUACAGAGUUAUUUAGCAAAUUCCCAUGGACUCACCAUUCUAGUUUAACAAAUGUUAAGAUUUUUUGCUGUAUUUGAAUCAGAUUAACUUUAUGAACUAAACAUUACAGGUUCGGUUUAAGUGCCUUCUAUUGUUUCCCCACUCCACCCCUUUCUCCCUCCUUGAAGUUGGUAUGUUUCCUUCAUAUUCAUGUCUUUAUACUUUCAGUAUAUAUGUACAUAUUCAUAAAAUAUAUGGAAUUAUUGUAUGCAUUUUAAAAACAUAUUUAGCAAUAUUGUACUGAACCCAUGCCAUUCAGCAAUAUUUCUUUUUCAUUUUACACUUUGGUUUUAAGAUUUAUCUGUGUUGCUAUGGGUACAUAUAGUUCACUACUUUUUCAUUGCUAUGUGGUAUUUCAUUCAUGCUACAAUUUACCCAUUUCUCUUUCAAUGGGCACAAAGAUUUUUGUAAUUUUUCACAUUACAAACUUUUUGUUUAUGUCAUCUUGUAUAUAUAUGUGAGCUCUUUUCAGAGCUCUCUCUCUCUCUAGAGAGCUCUGAAAAGAAAUCCAACUAACUGUGAGUUAGUGGCACAGGAGGUUAUUUUUCCUAAUGUAAUAAGAGCCUGGAGGCAGGCAUUCCAGGACCACCAUGGUGGAUAAGUGAUGCCAAGUGGAUCUGGGCUUAUUCCAUCUCUGCUCUACCAUCCUUAGAAGAUGUACUUUUAUCCUCAGGUUUGUUGUUUCAUGGCUAUGGAAUAGUUACAGCAAUUCCAGGCAUCAUGUCAUGUUACAAUUAGAAAUAAGGGAAAGGAACAAAAGUCCAAUAAAGCAGUCUAGUCAUAUUGUCCCUGUAAACAAGUUUCCUAGGAGCCCCACUUAGUGAUUUUCACUUAUACCCCAUUGGCCAAAAUAGGAUUAUGUCGUUCACCCCUUAGCCAAUUAGAAGAAAAUUUCUAGAUGGCAUGGGGAUGUGAAAGGGGUUAGGUCAGUUGAUAAGUUGCAUCUGCCAUCCUGACCAGGGAAUCAUGGCUGGGCCCUAGGAUAUGCACAUCUUCAAUACUCUUAGAUGUUGCCAAAGUGAUAUGCAAAGUGGUUGAACCAAUUCAUAGUAUUGCCAAAAAAGUAUGAAAGGUCCUGCUUUCCCAUGUCAAAAAUCAAAAAAGUAUGAAAGGUCCUGCUUCCCCAUAUUGUGAAGGUACUGUGUACACAAUGCUGGAUCAAGUCAUUGACAGAAAAAUAAAUAGACAAACAAAAGCCAAUUGUCAAUACUUCUAGAGCUUUAAGCAUUGUGACUGGAGCUUAGAGUAUACUGUCAGAUAGGCCUGUUGGAUUCCCUUUUCUGCCACCUACAGGCUAGUGAUUCUAUUUCAGUUUUUCUGGGCCUCAAUUUUCUCAUCUGUAAAAGGACCAUAAAGGUAGCAUCUAUUUGAUAAAGAUGUUCUAAUGAUUAGAAGGAAAAAUAUCUAUGAAUGGCUAGCAUAGCACCAACUACAGAGGGAAGCUGCAAAGUUUCUUAUUGAUUUUAAGAUUAUUACUUAGAAAUUAUAUGCUACAUGUAGGUUGGUCAUAUUUUUUGAGCCCCAAAUUAGGAAUUUUCCAUGAGUUCCACUCAUGAAAAAAUAGGUUCAAAUAUUUAAAAUGAGACCAUUCUGAAAAAUACUAAAUGAUUUCUAAUGAUUUAAUGUAUAUGCUUAAACAAUGGGCUUCACAUCAUCUCUAUCUUCUAGAAAAUGCUUGUUUAGAAAGUAUAGCAUGUUUCAAACUAUGAGUCUCAAAGAACAAAAUAAAAUACAAUUAGGUAGACUAGCUGAGACCAAAUGACCAAUACUAGCCCCAUAUUUUACUCUUCAAUUUGUACAUAUAAUCAUUGAAUUUUUCUUUUUUUGUUUUUAAUGCCCUGGAAAACAAAGGUAAGAAUGUGAAUCUGAAACUUAUUUUUUUCUUUGUGAUAUUUAACAAUAAGUGUUAAAAUAUGAGUAAUAUGAAGAAGUGGGAAAGCAAUAAAUAUUAUUAAUAGGUUUAUUUUUCCAUGUUCCAUAAUUUUUUAUUUUAAUUGUUGUUUAAGUACAGUUUUCUGCCUUUUAUUAAUAGAUUUUUAUAGGGGACAAAAAGCUGAAGUUAUUAAAUUCAGAGAAGAGAAGGCUAAAGGAAAAUGUCAUAAUUAUCAUUCAGUCCCUGAGCAUUACCUUUAGAGAGAACGAGAUGAAGUAGAAUGAUUUUAAACAACAGAAGCAUGGAUUUGAGGUCACUUUAGGGAAGAUUGUUCUGGUAAUAAGCACUAUUAAACCUUUUCCAGGUUUCCAAAUUAUUGAGUGACCUGAGAAAAUAGACUGGGAGUUACUUUUCUGCCAUUAUUUUAUGCCCUUUCAGGUCAUGAAAUACUUGGACUUUAAAAUUUUUAUUACAAAAUUCUGAACCUUAAAAGGAGUGGCAUACCUUAUAGUUCUCAUAGGUACUAUUCAACAUGUUUUUACUGAGAGAUCUAAUUAUAUAUACAUAUCAGGCACAAUGCUAGACUCUGGGGAUUAGAAGAAUGCCUGCU